AGUAUAUUUCCAGAAAUCCCUAACAUUUCUGCAUAUUCAUUCCAGUAUUUGAUGUAUAAUACUAUUCAUAGUUAACUAAGGCUGCUGUAACCUAUCUUCAGAUUCUCAGCUUCAUUCUUCCUGAUGGGGUUGCGCUACUUGCUUCAAGAAGAUAAUUAUAAUAUUCCCAUCAUUACUGACUUCAGACUUAAUCUGAUAACCCAGCAGCUGGGGAGGCAUCCAUCUCCCUAGUAAGAGCUUCUGACUUUAAACAUAGUGCUAUCAUUGGAGGAAGGAAGAAAGCUUUGUCUUUGGUGUUGUCAUCUCCCCUUGUCCAGCACUGAGCAGUUCCAAAGUUGUUAAAGGCUAGAAAUGAAUGUCUGAAGUCUUGUUUGGACCUAGGAACAAAAGAUGGGCAAAAGUAAAAUACACUGCUUGUGUGA